rnacentral:rRNA from 1 species
AUUGAACGCUGGCGGCAGGCUUAACACAUGCAAGUCGAGCGGGGAAGGGUAGCUUGCUACCUGACCUAGCGGCGGACGGGUGAGUAAUGCUUAGGAAUCUGCCUAUUAGUGGGGGACAACAUUCCGAAAGGAAUGCUAAUACCGCAUACGCCCUACGGGGGACAGCAGGGGAUCUUCGGACCUUGCGCUAAUAGAUGAGCCUAAGUCAGAUUAGCUAGUUGGUGGGGUAAAGGCCUACCAAGGCGACGAUCCGUAGCGGGUCUGAGAGGAUGAUCCGCCACACUGGGACUGAGACACGGCCCAGACUCCUACGGGAGGCAGCAGUGGGGAAUAUUGGACAAUGGGCGCAAGCCUGAUCCAGCCAUGCCGCGUGUGUGAAGAAGGCCUUUUGGUUGCAAAGCACUUUAAGCGAGGAGGAGGCUACUUGGAUUAAUACUCUAGGAUAGUGGACGUUACUCGCAGAAUAAGCACCGGCUAACUCUGUGCCAGCAGCCGCGGUAAUACAGAGGGUGCGAGCGUUAAUCGGAUUUACUGGGCGUAAAGCGUGCGUAGGCGGCUUUUUAAGUCGGAUGUGAAAUCUCUGAGCUUAACUUAGGAAUUGCAUUCGAUACUGGGAAGCUAGAGUAUGGGAGAGGAUGGUAGAAUUCCAGGUGUAGCGGUGAAAUGCGUAGAGAUCUGGAGGAAUACCGAUGGCGAAGGCAGCCAUCUGGCCUAAUACUGACGCUGAGGUACGAAAGCAUGGGGAGCAAACAGG